rnacentral:rRNA from 1 species
GGGUCAGUAGGUUGGUCGUGCCACCGGUACGUACUGGUCUCACUGAUUCCUCCUUCCUGAAGAACCGUAAUGCUAUUAAUUCGGUGUUGCGGGGAAACAGGACUGUUACUUUGAAAAAAUUAGAGUGUUUAAAGCAAGCUAACGCUCGAAUACAUUAGCAUGGAAUAAUGAAAUAGGACGAUCGAUCCUAUUUUGUUGGUUUCUAGGAUUGACGUA